ACAGGGCAAGGUUGCAUGCCUAUAUUCUCAACUUCUUGGGAGGCUGAGGCAGGGGAAUUGCUUGAGCCAAGGAUUUCUAAGAUGUAGUGUGCCAUGCCACUCAGAUGUCCACACUGUUUUUCAUCAGUGUGGUGGCCUCCUAUGAGCAGGAGAGCACCAGAUUGCUCGAAGAGAGGUGAACCAUCCCGGGUCAGAAAUGAAGCAGGUCAAAACUCUCAGGCUGUUCCAUAGUGGGAUCACACCUGUGAAUAGUCACUGCAUUCCAGCCUGUACAACAUAACUAUAACCUGUGUCAA
rfam:Pongo abelii chromosome 20.